CUGUCAACAACAUUUUUGGCUCCGGCUGAGAUUUUUGCCUGGCACCAAAUUUUGAUGCCAAACAAGAUUUGUCUGAACCCAGCCAGCUGUGCUAUGCUCUCAUUUUGUCAUGCCAAAAAAAAAAUAAAUAAACUAAAAGAAAUAAAAAAAAUUAAAAAGAGAUUUGUGCCAAAAUUAAAAGCAAUUUCCUUUGCAGUUUCAAAAAGCAAGAAAAGCUGCUCAAUUUCCCAGCGCAUCAAUUUAAUUCAAUUUAUUUAAUGUCCAUGUGUGUGUGUGCUCGUGUUUUUGUGUGUGUGUAUGUGUGUAUGUGUGUGUGUGUUUCUGUGCGCCGAGCUAAUUCAAUGAACUAGACAACAAAAUAACUUAAAUUUUAUGUGGAAGAUAAAGCCCUGUGUAUCAUAAAACUGCCUGCCUUUAAAAUAUCUUGAUACAAUCCAGCAGAGCUCCCGCAAGGCCACAUUGGCAAACGGGAAUGGUGGUCCUUGCAAAUUUGACGGCUUGACAGAAGGCAGCCGGAGUCAGUCGACCCGCAUACAAAUAUGUUAACGUGCUGGCAGCCAACGGAUUCGCGGAAUGGCGACGUUAUUCACCGACUUGGCAGCAUGCCUUUGAUAUGAGAGACACAAUGGGCCAGAGCUGAACAGAAUUGAAAAUCAGUCUGGGACAAUACAGCGUACAGGCCUACGCUCUCGGGGGGCUGCUUUAAUACUUUACAUACAAUGCAUGAAAAAAAUGUCAACAGUAAAUGGAAACCAUAUGUGCUUGUGAAGCCCAUUGAAAUAAGUAUGCUAAUAAAGAAUUUAAGAAUACAUUUAACAA